rnacentral:rRNA from 1 species
UCGAGACCAGGACGUUGAUAGGUGGGGUGUGGAAGCGCGGUAACGCGUGAAGCUAACCCAUACUAAUUGCUCGUGAGGCUUGACUCUAUCAU